rnacentral:tRNA from 1 species
GAACUGGUAGCUCAGAGGAUAGAGCUUGGGUUUCCGAAACCCAAUGUCAAGGGUUCGAGUCCCUUUCAGUUCG